AGUGAACGCUGGCGGUAGGCCUAACACAUGCAAGUCGAACGGCAGCACAGUGAGAGCUUGCUCUUACGGGUGGCGAGUGGCGGACGGGUGAGGAAUACAUCGGAAUCUACUUUUUCGUGGGGGAUAACGUAGGGAAACUUACGCUAAUACCGCAUACGACCUACGGGUGAAAGCAGGGGAUCUACGGACCUUGCGCGAUUGAAUGAGCCGAUGUCGGAUUAGCUAGUUGGCGGGGUAAAGGCCCACCAAGGCGACGAUCCGUAGCUGGUCUGAGAGGAUGAUCAGCCACACUGGAACUGAGACACGGUCCAGACUCCUACGGGAGGCAGCAGUGGGGAAUAUUGGACAAUGGGCGCAAGCCUGAUCCAGCCAUACCGCGUGGGUGAAGAAGGCCUUCGGGUUGUAAAGCCCUUUUGUUGGGAAAGAAAAGCAGCAGGUUAAUACCCCGCUGUUCUGACGGUACCAAAAGAAUAAGCACCGGCUAACUUCGUG
rnacentral:rRNA from 1 species